CAGCUGAGCUUGAGGGGGCCAAGAUGGCGGGUUCUUCCCCGUCAGCCUUUCACUGCAGCAGGGGUGAGCCUAGCAGGUGUUCGAAUCACAUCCGCGGAUUGGUACAUGGCACUGCUGUUCCCCUUAAGAAAACCCCAGGCCCCACCAGCAGAGCAGCAGAGCAGCAGAGUGGCAGAGUGGCAGAGAAGGAGAGAAGCAGCAGCCAGAUGUUGGAGAGAAGCAGCUUGACUUCAGAGGGACAACUUGGUAGCGGGACCUCGGAGAAGAGUUUGGCCAGGGAUGCCCAAACUCCAGGGGAAGACCACCUUCCCACUCCAUCCCCUUUCCAGCUCCCCAUUCCAUUGAGAGCCACUUCCACCACUAAAUAAAAUCCUCCACAUUCACCAACCUCAAA
rnacentral:lncRNA from 1 species